GACGAACGCUGGCGGCGUGCUUAACACAUGCAAGUCGAGCGGACAGGCCCUGCUCUUGUGGCGUUCUCGUUUGGCGAACGGGUGAGUAUAACGUGAGUAUCCUGUCCUUGACUUUGGGAUAUCUUCUCGAAACUCGGGCUCUUAUCGGAUAGGAGCUCCUGAUGCGUGGUGGUGGUUGGAAAGUUUCGGUGGUUGGGGAUGGACUCGAGGCUUAUCCGCUUCUUGGUGGGGUAGGUGCUUACCAAGGCUUCGACGGGUAGCCGGCCUGGGAGGGUUACCGGCCACAUGGGGACUGAGAUACGGCCCAGACGCCUACGUGAGGCAGCAGGGGGGAACAUUGCACAAUGGGCGGAAGCCUGAUACAGCAACGCCGCGAGCGUGAUAACGUCCUUCGGGUGAUAAACCACUUUCGCCUGAGACGAAGCGUGAGUGACGGUAAUGAGUAAAGAAGCACCGGCUAACUACGUG
rnacentral:rRNA from 1 species